AGUGAACGCUGGCGGUAGGCCUAACACAUGCAAGUCGAACGGCAGCACAGAGGAGCUUGCUCCUUGGGUGGCGAGUGGCGGAAGGGUGAGGAAUACAUCGGAAUCUACUCUGUCGCGGGGGAUAACGUAGGGAAACUUACGCUAAUACCGCAUACGACCUACGGGUGAAAGAAGGGUACCUUCGGGCCUUGCGCGAUUGAAUGAGCCGAUUUCGGAUUAGCUAGUUGGCGGGGUAAAGGCCCACCAAGGCGACGAUCCGUAGCUGGUCUGAGAGGAUGAUCAGCCACACUGGAACUGAGACACGGUCCAGACUCCUACGGGAGGCAGCAGUGGGGAAUAUUGGACAAUGGGCGCAAGCCUGAUCCAGCCAUACCGCGUGGGUGAAGAAGGCCUUCGGGUUGUAAAGCCCUUUUGUUGGGAAAGAAAUCCAGCCGGCUAAUACCUGGUUGGGAUGACGGUACCCAAAGAAUAAGCACCGGCUAACUUCGUGCCAGCCGCCGCGGUAA
rnacentral:rRNA from 1 species